CAGUAGCCGCGGUAAUACGGAGGAUCCAAGCGUUAUCCGGAAUCAUUGGGUUUAAAGGGUCCGUAGGCGGUCUUGUAAGUCAGUGGUGAAAGCCCAUCGCUCAACGGUGGAACGGCCAUUGAUACUGCAGGACUUGAAUUAUUGGGAAGUAACUAGAAUAUGUAGUGUAGCGGUGAAAUGCUUAGAGAUUACAUGGAAUACCAAUUGCGAAGGCAGGUUACUACCAAUUGAUUGACGCUGAUGGACGAAAGCGUGGGUAGCGAACAGGAUUAGAGACACCAGUAGUCCCUGUCUCUUAUAC
rnacentral:rRNA from 1 species